GCCUGUUUGAGAAUCACACUAUCACUCUGAUCCGAUUGCAUCACGUGCAGUUGGUCGACAUGGGCCUUCAGCACUGAUCGCCUCGAAUUGCUCGCGAUCGUCGUGAUAUGACAGGGUGUGGCAGCAAUGCCGUCCAGUGUUGUCGACGAUCAACCCGUGCUCGUGAUCUCAAAUCAGGCAAGGCUACCCGCUGAACUUAA
rnacentral:misc_RNA from 1 species